rnacentral:rRNA from 1 species
UGGGGGAUAACAUUUGGAAACAGAUGCUAAUACCGCAUAAAACCUAACACCGCAUGGGUGUAGGGUUGAAAGACUGGUUUCGGCUAUCACUUUAGGAUGGACCCGCGGUGCAUUAGUUAGUUGGUGAGGUAAAGGCUCACCAAGACCGUGAUGCAUAGGCCGACCUGAGAGGGUAAUCGGCCACACUGGGACUGAGACACGGCCCAGACUCCUACGGGAGGCAGCAGUAGGGAAUCUUCCACAAUGGACGAAAGUCUGAUGGAGCAACGCCGCGUGAGUGAAGAAGGUUUUCGGAUCGUAAAACUCUGUUGUUGGAGAAGAAUUGUAUCUGAUAGUAACUGAUCAGGUAGUGACGGUAUCCAACCAGAAAGCCACGGCUAACUACAUG